rnacentral:rRNA from 1 species
GACGAACCGUGCGAACGUUGUUCGGAUUCACUGGGCUUAAAGGGCGCGUAGGCGGUCCGACAAGUCAGGGGUGAAAUCCUGCAGCUUAACUGCAGAAGUGCCUUUGAUACUGUCGGUCUCGAGGGAGAUAGGGGUGUGCGGAACUUCCAGUGGAGCGGUGAAAUGCGUUGAUAUUGGAAGGAACGCCGGAGGCGAAAGCGGCGCACUGGAUCUCUUCUGACGCUGAGGCGCGAAAGCUAGGGGAGCAAACGGG